CCUUCGCUGCUCACGAUGCCCCUCCUCUCCCCGCCGCCGCCCACGGCGGCAUCUCCUCCCUCAACAAAACACUUGAUGCGUUCUUCUUCCAUCCAGGCUACCAAGCCUCGCGAGGGAUUCCAGUGCGGGUGGGGAUCAAUCCGAGGCGAGGCUUGCCAGUGAUCCGGUGCAGGAGGGGAUUGGCCAAGGCGACGCCUGCGAGGAUGCAGUGCUCGAGAGGAUCCCACCGGUAGCAGAUGUGCGAUGUUUCCUCUUCCCCGUCACCGUUGCUCCUUGGUCCUUGCCGCAGCCACUCGCGCGUGUCGCCGCCAGGUUUAGGUCAAUCUCUUCUGUAUAUGAGAGGUCGUCCGAUGUGGAGCGCCACUAGCCUCAAGGGAGAUUUGGAGGAGGCCGGGUCUUGGAGCACGGAAGACAUGUGCCUGUGUCAGCUUGAUGCCACUCCGCCACUGCAGAUUAUUAGGAGCUGUGAAGGAAGUUUGAGUGGAUGAGUUAUAUCCUAUCCAUGAUACCUGGUGUACAACUACCCUGCAAUUAUCCAUCGUCGGCGAGUGGCGCACAUGAGUCUCCACUAAGGUCCUGUUGCGAUGGUUAUAUAGCUCCUCGAUUUCUGGCAACUGUUUGCUGCUAGAGGUGACCCUCUACCUCGCAGGCGGAUUACCAUGGUCGACUGGAUUGACCGGCCCCCGAUUCGCCUGCAUCCCGUGCCUCGGCUUGAUCAACUGGAUAUCAUCAAGCGUUGGAUUCCUUCGGGUGCCUUGCCGCAGCUGAAUCUCCUCGAGCGCGUCGUCUCCCUCCCGCACUAGAUCCCCUCGGAUAUUUCAAUAUCGUUCCGUUCUUAAAUUAUGUUCCUGGAGACAAACGUAGGAAACUGAGGUACUGCUACACUGCCUGAUCUUCCGUCUCCCCAACGGAUCUCCUCUCACAUGAUCUUGCGACGGUUGUCGUGCAGGCAGAAUUGAGAGGACUUGAAUGGGAUAAGGACCGCUGCUACAUCGGCUAACACAACAGCAAGGAUUCACUUACUCCGUAUUAUCCAUUGCUCCGGCUGUAUAUAACCAUGCAGGUUAGGUUAUAUCGAUGAAUAUUAUUGAGAGAAAAAUCUUCAUACCUUACAACGAUGUGAUUUAUUUCUGGUUGUAUAACAUCUAUUUAUGGUAUGCACUCUGGAAUAUGCUUGCAACAGUCGAGUAGAAGGAAUACUUACUGAAGUUGCCAGCAUAUCUGUCUAUGGUAUUUGAUCGUUACUACCACCAGUGUUUCUUAGAUGUAUUUUUUUAAUUAUUCUUCUAUUUCUCCCAUUUACAAUGCGAAGAGGUUGCAACUUUCUGUAGUCCACAAGUAAAUCGUUGAUUGAUUAUAUGCUAUUCUUCGGUUUUAGAAAAAAUAAAGCAUAAUGAUAUAAAUACUUCCCAAUAUUUGAGAUAUAGAAAUGUCAAUAUUAGAAUUGAUAGUGUGGCAUUUACCUAUCUAUGCAUAAAAAAUUAACUUGCAUUUUUACUUCAAUAUUUAUGUGGAACAAAUGGAUGUAUUUGGGACACCUCUUUGGUUACUCCAUACUUAUCCAGAUGACUACAACAAGUAUUUGUUUCACAUUGCCAUUGGUUACUACAUACUUUAUCCGGAGAACUAUUGCAAGUGUUUUUUGGUGGGACUAUAGCAAGCCUUCGUUUCAGGACAUUGCUUUGGUUACUACACAUGUUUAUCCGGAGGACAAUGGCGAGUCGUCCUUUUGCCAGACUAUAGGAAGUCUUUGUUUCAUAGCAUCCCGUCAUUGCUUUCCUUCACUCUACAACAAGAAAGAAUGGUUGUUUCGCAAAAAAAAGAACAAGAAAUAAAGGUUUUUAUGAGGUCUUUGGCUCUUCCUACAUGAAACUUUUAUGUAACUACUUGGUCAGCAGGGGGCAGCAUCCAACAAAAACAUGGUGUUGUAGACUACAUGUGGAGUUCGUCCAGCUAAUCAGGUAAGGUUGCUACAGUACCCAUGGCUGUCAAUAUCUUUUUUUUUUCUGUUCUAAUUGCUAAUCUGCCGAGUUUGCUUCUUAGUUGUGAUAAAUUGCCAUACAUGUGUUGUUUCUAGAGCUCCAGAAACCUGUGAUGAUACAUGUUGGUUGAACGGUCAAUUCCAUUGUUAUUUCAAUCUAUUUUAUCAUUUCC